rnacentral:misc_RNA from 1 species
AAAGAAACUUACCUUGAUGAGAUGAAACUAUUAAAAAUUCAUCAUUUUUUUCAACCGAAGGUGACAAGCAGAGUUGUUUAGAGCUGUUAUCUUUAUCCUUCAAAUUGAAUAAGAAUUAAGUUUGCAAACCAGAGAGACAUUAAUGGGGACGUGUCCAAGACUUGGUCCAUAUCAGCACUCUGAUCCCAGAAACCACCAGCAUU